GCUGAGCAGUAGGACCUGAAAUGAUUUCCUUCAACAUUUAGUCAGACUGAUUUUCUGGAUCCAAGUCUUUCGACCUACUAAACGUGGACAGAUUAUUUCAUCUCUCUGGCACCUUACACUCUGGGGGUACAGAGCCAAGAUAAUAGCUUGUGCUUGGAACAGUGCCAGGAAUAUGCCAUUGUGACAAGGCAUCACCAAUCAUCAGGUCCUUUUACCCGGAGCUCCCAUGUCAUGGCCACUUGUCUCUGUAUAUAAAGGGAGUGAUGAGGAUGCUGCUUUGGAUGAAUGGACCUGGGGUGGGGAAAGGGGGCAGCAGACAGAGGCUGUCGUGGCAACAAGAUCUCUGCUGCUGGCCAGAAUUGGGAAAUGUAAGAAGAUGGUGAAUUACUAUAGAUGUAAGUGUUCAGUAUGCCAUCUGACGGAUUUACUACAGAGAAAAAAAUCAAAGAAGUUAUGCCAGAAAAAGAACAGGAAGACAAGUCGGCAGCAUAAGCCAAUGCUCUGGUUGAAGACACUGCUUGACAUCAUGUUUUUCCAUGUCAUGUUUUCUCCCAUGGCCAGCAAAAAGAAAAGCCUCUUUUGGUCCAGGCCCAAGACCACCAUGAUCAUCUUUGAUUUUACAUCUCUGCCCCAGGGUCUCUAAGUAAAAUCUCUCUCCUUUCACUGA